rnacentral:lncRNA from 10 species
GGGUUUGGAGAGCAUGAUGAGAACCACUUGCAUAUUCUCAAACGAAUAUUGGUUUCUCAACAGCCUCUUUUAACACAAUAAUGCUAAGAGGGGCUUAGAGGGGGAGGGUCUCCAGGGGAGGUCAGGGUUCCUUUGAGAAAGGCCUGUCCAGAUGGAUGGGCUCGGCUUUCUAAAGCCCAGCAGUUUGGUUUCCAGUGGUGGUUGGAUUCAGCUGCCAAAAACCCAAAUUAGGAAAGGUUUUGUUGAUAGCCCAUAAGAGGACACUCUGGAAGAUGGAUUGAAGUUUAUUGCCAACCCCGGACAAUAAAUAGACAUAUAUACAACCCAGAGAAAAAGCGUGUGCAAAUAUAUAUGUUCUUUGCCAUGGACAAAAUGAUCAAAACCAGCUGCUCCGUGGAGUUCUUCAUUGAAAGGAAGAGAGAGGUGGAGUUGGCAGUGAAGCGGGAUCUGCAGACACACUUCAGCAUCAAGCUGACUUAUCACUCCUCUGGAAACGGUUAACAUGCCUGGUCCAGCCACCCGUCAUGUGGAUGUGAUGUGCCUCUCAGCAGUUCUGAAGAUGACAGAAAACCCCAGGCCCCACCAGCAGAGCAGCAGAGCAGCAGAGUGGCAGAGUGGCAGAGAAGGAGAGAAGCAGCAGCCAGAUGUUGGAGAGAAGCAGCUUGACUUCAGAGGGACAACUUGGUAGCGGGACCUCGGAGAAGAGUUUGGCCAGGGAUGCCCAAACUCCAGGGGAAGACCACCUUCCCACUCCAUCCCCUUUCCAGCUCCCCAUUCCAUUGAGAGCCACUUCCACCACUAAAUAAAAUCCUCCACAUUCACCAACCUCA